rnacentral:rRNA from 1 species
UGUCCCAGCCGCCGCGGUAAUACGUAGGGUGCAAGCGUUAUCCGGAAUUAUUGGGCGUAAAGGGCUCGUAGGCGGUUCGUCGCGUCCGGUGUGAAAGUCCAUCGCUUAACGGUGGAUCCGCGCCGGGUACGGGCGGGCUUGAGUGCGGUAGGGGAGACUGGAAUUCCCGGUGUAACGGUGGAAUGUGUAGAUAUCGGGAAGAACACCAAUGGCGAAGGCAGGUCUCUGGGCCGUUACUGACGCUGAGGAGCGAAAGCGUGGGGAGCGAACAGGAUUAGAUACCCUGGUAGUCCACGCCGUAAACGGUGGAUGCUGGAUGUGGGGCCCGUUCCACGGGUUCCGUGUCGGAGCUAACGCGUUAAGCAUCCCGCCUGGGGAGUACGGCCGCAAGGCUAAAACUCAAAGAAAUUGACGGGGGCCCGCACAAGCGGCGGAGCAUGCGGAUUAAUUCGAUGCAACGCGAAGAACCUUACCUGGGCUUGACAUGUUCCCGACGAUCCCAGAGAUGGGGUUUCCCUUCGGGGCGGGUUCACAGGUGGUGCAUGGUCGUCGUCAGCUCGUGUCGUGAGAUGUUGGGUUAAGUCCCGCAACGAGCGCAACCCUCGCCCCGUGUUGCCAGCGGAUUGUGCCGGGAACUCACGGGGGACCGCCGGGGUUAACUCGGAGGAAGGUGGGGAUGACGUCAGAUCAUCAUGCCCCUUACGUCCAGGGCUUCACGCAUGCUACAAUGGCCGGUACAACGGGAUGCGACGCGGCGACGCGGAGCGGAUCCCUGAAAACCGGUCUCAGUUCGGAUCGCAGUCUGCAACUCGACUGCGUGAAGGCGGAGUCGCUAGUAAUCGCGAAUCAGCAACGUCGCGGUGAAUGCGUUCCCGGGCCUUGUACACACCGCCCGUCAAGUCAUGAAAGUGGGCAGCACCCGAAGCCGGUGGCCUAACCCCUUGUGGGAUGGAGCCGUCUAAGGUGAGGCUCGUGAUUGGGACUAAGUCGUAACAAGGUAACCAAUCGA